AUGGAUAUGAUGAUUUUUUCCCCAAAUGAACGACGCUGAAUAAAUUAAGCGAUUAUUAUUUUCUCUUUGGAGAAACCAAGCCAAGAAUCUGAUCCAU
rnacentral:snoRNA from 1 species